GCCAGGCGUGGUGGUGCACGCCUGUAAUCCUAGCUACUCGGGAGGCUGAGGCAGGAGAAUUGCUUGAGCCCAGGAGGUGGAGGUUGCAGGUUUCAGUGAACGGACAUCGCGCCAUUGCACUCCAGCCUGGGUGACAGAGUGAGACUCUGUCUCAC
rnacentral:SRP_RNA from 1 species